rnacentral:lncRNA from 1 species
AUUUAAUUUCAUUAUUUCCAAGUUUUUUGUAAUCUCAAGUUCCCAUACGGAUUCAUCAUUACACUUUCUCCAAGAUGUCACGUCUAGCCCACGUUUAGACCUUACCUCCAUCAUUUCCUAACAUCAUGGCCUUUUUCAACUUUUUCUUCGACACUUUGUAUCCAGACGCAAAUUGAGCAAGGUCAUUCGCCUCUUGAUUCUCCACCCUGGGAAUGUGCCUAAAGGCCACAUUGUCGAAUUCCUUGAGAAGUCUAUUGGCUAUUACAAAGUACAUGAUUAAAU